rnacentral:rRNA from 2 species
AUACCGGCAGCUCGAGUGAUGGCCGUUCUUAUUGGGCCUAAAGCGUCCGUAGCCGGCCACGCAAGUUCGUCGGGAAAUCCACGCGCUUAACGCGUGGGCGUCCGGCGAAACCUGCGUGGCUUGGGACCAGACGACCCAGAGGGUACGACCGGGGUAGGAGUGAAAUCCUGUAAUCCCGGCCGGACCACCGGUGGCGAAAGCGCUCUGGGAGGAUGGAUCCGACGGUGAGGGACGAAAGCCAGGGUCACGAACCGUAUUAGAUACCCGGGUAGUCCUGGCCGUAAACGAUGCCCGUUAGGUGCGGCGUAGGCUACGAGCCUACGCUGUGCCGCAGUGAAGACGCUAAACGGGCCGCCUGGGAAGUACGUCCGCAAGGAUGAA